CCUGAGAGGGUGAUCGGCCACACUGGAACUGAGACACGGUCCAGACUCCUACGGGAGGCAGAAGUAGGGAAUCUUCCGCAAUGGGCGAAAGCCUGACGGAGCAACGCCGCGAGAGUGAUGAAGGUCUUCGGAUCGUAAAACUCUGUUAUUAGGGAAGAACAUAUGUGUAAGUAACUGUGAACAUCUUGACGGUACCUAAUCAGAAAGCCACGGCUAACUACGUGCCAGCAGCCGCGGUUAUACGUAGGUGGCAAGCGUUAUCCGGAUUUAUUGGGCGUAAAGCGCGCGUAGGCGGUUUUU
rnacentral:rRNA from 1 species